UUAUGCUUAAUUUUAUAACUAUGAUUUAAUGGGACAAUAUUUCCUCACAUAUAUAGUUUAUUUGUGAUAAUAUAUUUUUUCUUUUAAUUUAUUUUUUUGAGUGUUAUUUUUAUUUUCAGUUCAAAUAAAUCCAAUUGGAACUGUUGACGAUGAAGAAGAGUACCCUUGCUUCUGUUCUACGUGGUGGAGAUGGUGAUGAUCAGCCAAAUCAAGAGAACGAAAUUUUGAUGAUGAAGAUGAACUGAUUUUGAGAUAGAGCUUGAUGUAAUGGGAAUAAAACCCAAAAGGAGAACAUGGGAGCUGGACGUGAAUUAAAAGCACUCACACAUCAGCAGGAACAACAUCAUUCACAUACGGCUGGAGCACUCAUGCUAUUUUUCGUGAGGUGGGUUCUUGGCUGGCAGACUUCACGGAUGGCACAGGAGAAGAAAGGAAUCCUUUUUCGUUUGAGUGGAAAGAGGGCUACGACUUUUUCGUUUAGUCAAGCUACUUUUCGUUCAUUUGAGGAAGAGAUACGGAUUGAGAGAAUUGGAGAGAGGAGUACAGAAUUUUCAACUACACGAAAUGAAGGAAAAUAAGCAAGAAGAAGAGUCAACAUUUUCGGAAAGCAAGGGGCUGGAAUUGGAAUUAGCUGAAGGGGUAGGCAGCAGCAGAAUUGGUGGGAGUUGAGAGAGGGAGAGACGUGUGAAGAAAAGUCAUGAGCAAACAAAAAGAAAUAAAAAGCAAAAGCCGGAAAGAAUAGGCGUGAGAGUGGGUGAGCAUGGAAUUUUAAAGUAAUCCGGUGAGGUUACGUAUGUUACAUGAGUAGAGAGGGUAGGAAAGGAGAAAAAGUGAGUAGGGAAUGAGUGUGUUAGCUGAAGUUAGCUGAACGUGGGCCCUCUCAUUAAAGAAAAGAAGUGAGAUGUUGGUUGAUAGGGGAUGCAGCCGAGAUUGAAGAAGUGAUAAGUGGGGUCAGUUUGGUAGAGUGGAGAACGAUUGGUUUAACUUGAAGAAAGGAAAGGGCAUUCUUCUGGACUGGAUAGCUGGCAAGAGGGAACGGACGAGCAGCAAAGCAGGGGUAGGCAGCAGCAGAAUUUGGAGGGGGAGUCAUUCUUCUUUUUCGGCUUGGACUGGAAAGCUGCUGCAGCAAGAAAGAAAAUCACAAUGCAACCACAUUACACAUGCAAUGAACACAGCAACACACGGCUAUAAAAGGAAAGAAAGCUGAAAUGAAGAGGAGUCGAUUUUCGGGAGCAGUAGCUUAGUUUAAAGUUUCUUUUCUUUUUGUUGAAACGAUGGAAGUUGUUUCCAGGGGGAGUUUUUAGUUUUAUGUUUUCGAGUAGCAGGAGUGGGGGUAGGAGCUUGAAGUACUCUCUCGGGCAGUAGCUUAGUGGGGCCUUUCUUAUUUUGUUUUGGUUGGGACUUCCACUUGAGCUGGAGUGAGACCAGCUGGGGGGAUUCGGACAGUAGCUUAGUUUAGUUUUGUUUUUGUUAUACUUUUCAUUUCGGACUUAGGAGUUUUAGGGGAGUUGAACUUGUUGUUUUUCAUUUAUUCUCAUUCGGGACAGCAGGAGGAAGUUUGUUUAUUUUCUGUUUGCUUUGUAUUCUCAUUCGGACAGCAGUUGUUUACUUGUUCAGUUGUUUUAUUUUCUGUUGUUUACUUGUUUGUUUGGCUGUAAUUGUUUUAGGAGUUCAGUUGCUUUAUUUUUCUGUUUAGAAGCAAUGGCACGGCAGUUUUCAUUUAUUGUAUUGUUUUCUUGUUUUAUUUUCUGUUUAGAAGCUAGUAGCAGCAUCACGUAAAGUUUUAGUUUUUGUUUA